AGUUGCUUGCAGCCUUCUGAAGUGGCAGGAUGUUACUCUGUGUGGGCAGACACUUGAAGCCUUCUCAAGAGGGCAAAUGGAUAUCUGGUAACUGCUGAAACAGAAGGAAGAAAUUGCAGAGGUGUCUGCUCUGUCUGGAAGGCUUCAAAAGGUCAAGCUACCCACAGCAGUUCUAGCAGAAGUAGUGAAUCAAUGUCUGUCUGCCCUGUCACUCACAGCCAGGUGUCACCUGCAAGCCUCAGGGGGUGCCGUGUUGUAGCCAUGCCUUUCUCCAGGUUGCAGGGGAAGAGAUAAAGGUAUAAAAUGGGAAAAACCUGAGCCCAGUGGUCCUGCUCUUGUUACCACCAUCCAGGUGGAGCAGGAGCCACUGAAUCUCCCUCCCUCUAAACUCAAUUUCCUGCCAGCUUUGUACCUGUGUGGCUGCCCAGCCAUUUAAACACAGGGGUGCUGGGGCAGUAGCACUGAAAGCCUCACUACAUUUGGGAUAAAUGAUUCUCACUGCUCUCUGCAGCUACAAAAAUUCACUCAUUUCAGCAUAAAAGGAAACCAGAUUGGUCAGGUGUGACUUUCCUUUUUCAGGUCCACUCCAAUCCCCAGUCAUCACACUGGCUGUGGGCCCAGGGGGACAGAAAUCAAACUUGUUAACAGUUCUGGCUUGACUUUCAUAAAUGGUUCCCAAAUCUCAGGUAACUCAGUCCUCAGUAACUGAAAGUGAAACAUAUCAACAAAUUGAUGUUUUGGUGUUAAUAAGGGGAUA